UUUUAAAUUGGGACUAUGUAAUU
rnacentral:piRNA from 1 species